rnacentral:rRNA from 1 species
UAGCAUGCAGUCGAGCGCUCAUCAGCAAUGGUGGGAGCGGCGAACGGCGUAGUAAGACGUAGGAACGUACCCUCAGGACGGGGAUAGCUAUGGGAAACUGUAGGUAAUACCCGAUAAUCUCUGCGGAGCAAAGGUGUGAUUCCGCCUGAGGAGCGGCUUACGCGAUAUUAGCUAGUUGGUGGGGUAAUGGCCUACCAAGGCGAUGAUGUCUAGGGGGUGUGAGAGCAUGGCCCCCACGACCGGAACUGAGAUACUGUCCGGACACCUACGGGUGGCUGCAGUCGAGAAUCUUCCGCAAUGGACGAAAGUCUGACGGAGCGACGCCGCGUGCGGGAUGAAGGCCCUUGGGUUGUAAACCGCUGUCAGAGGGGAUGAAAUCUUCGGGGGUACUCCUCCGAAGUUGACAGAGCCUCAAAGGAAGCACGGGCUAAGUACGUGCCAGCAGCCGCGGUAACACGUACUGUGCGAACGUUAUUCGGAAUCACUGGGCUUAAAGGGUGCGUAGGCGGCGAUUCAAGUCAGAUGUGAAAUGCCUGAGCUCAACUGAGGCAUUGCGUUUGAAACUGAAUUGCUAGAGUAUCCUAGGGGUGUGCGGAACUGCCAGUGGAACGGUGAAAUGUGUUGAUAUUGGCAGGAACACCGGAGGCGAAAGCGGCACACUGGGGGAUAACUGACGCUGAGGCACGAAAGCCAAGGGAGCGAACGGGAUUAGAUACCCCGGUAGUCUUGGCCGUAAACGAUGAGUACUGG